GCCAAAUGUCCACAGUAGUCUCCAGAUAUUGCCAAAUGUCCACAGUAGUCUCCAGAUAUUGCCAAAUGUCCACAGGAACCAAAAUCACCCCUAGUUGAGAACCACUGCUCUAGAGUUAGAAAAAGCAUAAAUGAUGAUGUAUGACUUCGAGACUUUCUCUUUUGGAUCAUCGAUUCUGGAGGAAGCCAACUGUCAAAUUGCCAUAUGGAAAGACCUAUGUUUUGAGGAACUGAUGCCUCCAGUCAACAGCCAGACAGGAACUGAAGUCUCUUGCAGACAGCAGUGUAAGUGAGCUUGGAAGUAGAUCCACUAACCCCAGUCAAGCUUUCAGGUCGCUACAUCCUCAGCUGACAUCUUGAUUGCAACCUCACAAAAGACCAUGAACAGAACCAUAUAACUAAGCUUCUCUUGAAUGCUUGACCUGCAGAAACUGACCACAAGAAAAAUUUUAUGACACAGCCAGUGAUGCAUACUCUGAAGGUACCACAGAAAACCAUUAUUUGUAUUCACAUCAAAUCUCAGAGAUUAGAAGUCAGAUUGGUGAACUAGAACUUCUGUUUUGCUCCCUUG
rnacentral:lncRNA from 10 species